rnacentral:lncRNA from 1 species
GGCAACGCAGGCCUUCUGGUGCUUUACGACGACGGUUUUUCCGUGGCGCAAUGCUUCGUCAUCCACCCAGAACCAGCCCCCUCGGUGGCGAACCCCUCUAAGCUCAAGCGCUCCAAUUCCAAACACCAGCGUCCGGCGCCCUCCGAUCUGCCCGACCCUCCCCAUGAUCACCAUCAUCAUCAUCAGAUGCUCGCCGGAAGGCCGCCGCCCAGCUCGACCAAGGCGCUCGCAGCCCCUGUAAGCUUCGGCCACUGUCUACCAAGCUCGACAGCAUGAUCCACGACCACCACAGCGGCGAGGGUAGCAGCGCCCCCGUCUGUGCCUCCUCGAGAAAUGUCAUACUCUAUGCGAAUCUCGGGAACAUCUGUGUGCCGCCGUCACCCCUAACCCCAACCGCAGUGUGCUCGAUCACCUCUCCAGAGAAAGCGUCCCACUGGGGCAACAAGGUCGCUGCCCAGCCUCAUGGGAAAGGGAGCGGCAUUAACGAAUCCAUGGAUCAUGACCGGAAAUGUUCCUAAGACCGGCUGGUGCAUCCACCUUUGGGAUGGCCUCAGUGGGAGAAGGUGGGAAGCGAGGGCCGAAAAGAAGGUAGAAAAGAAGUCCCUUUCUAUUUUGAGUUGAAUUGCGCUGUAACGAUGACCUUGGGAUGCUUGGAUGCCUUCCAAUUUAAACAGGGCUAUGGGCUUCGAUGGAGACUUUUUCUGCUUACAAAAGUUUAGUUGCUUUAAUCUUCAAAGCAUAAAUGUAGGUAGGCCAAGACCACACGUAGGGGUUGCAAGAGAUUUUUUUUAAAAAUUUUUUGAGAUAAAAUGAAGCAAGACAUUUCCCAUUAACAUAUUAAAAGAGUUACAAGAGGAAUUGAAUUUGUUGAAUAUAUGAGUGCUAUUUAAUGAAUGGACAUGAUUUCAUCGCUUAUAGCACUUUUUGAUUUUCGAAG